CGCCGUCUUCGCGACGAAGGAGGCUGCCCAUUGCGUCCCACCCCACCAGAAAGCCAAACACUGGCCUACAUCGGAAUCUUAAAGCGGAUUGUGAAUGAUCAUCUCUCAUGUUGGAUGCUUGGUCUCAGGCCACGGUGUUUGGCAGUAAUCAGUGAUUUUUCAGAACGUUGGAAGAAAUGAAAAAAUAUAUUUUUUGGUUGAAUCCCUGAAGGAGGUAGAAGACUACUGCAGUUGUCCCAGUAGGAAAGCCAGGUGGCUCAGGCUGACGUGAUGUUGGUGGACGUGGUGAUGAGCGGUAGGUAUGAGAAUGUAGGAAUUGUAAGGCUAGAGCUCGGUUGAUGUUGUUCCUAUAAACAUGGCAGCAGGGGCGCCAUGAGGUGGGUAAGGCGAGGGAAAGAGAUGUUGCCUCUGAGGCUUUGGCCUGAGGGACUAGGUGGACGGUGGUGCCGCUGACUGAGAUGGACGAGAUUUUAGGGGGAGCAAGUCUCUAACCUGCUUUGGAGACAUGCUUCCACAUGCCUGGUUUCAGAACGUGAUACAUAUUCAGGUCUUAUUCAUUCAUCUUCUUCUGAGGUUCCUCCCAUCAAAGUGAAAAGCUG
rnacentral:lncRNA from 1 species